rnacentral:rRNA from 1 species
AUGCGGCGGACGCACCGCUCGAGGGGAACCUCAGAGAGGCGAGGCUCCACGUCGCCAACGCCUGCGGCCUCCUGCGCUCGGCCCGCGGCCACCUCGACAGGAUAUGCGCAGACUUCGUCGGCGGUAACCCCAUCGGCAUGGAGCGUGCGCUUCAGGCGCUGCAGCCGCCCGAGCCUAACCUCCCCGGGCGGCACCCGCCCGUGCCUAACCUCCCCAGGCGGCACCCGCCCGUGCCUAACCUCCCCAGGCGGCACCCGCUCGCGGUUGCUUGGGGAGCUCAUCUGGGGCAAUGCCUUGUCCAGCUAG